AUGGGGAACGCAGCUGGUCGUCCUGUGCCCGGAGCGACAGUGAAGGCGGAGGACGGCAUGGUUCGUCUUCGAGUUGGACGCCUGCACUCUGAAUCCUCCUACAGCACCUUUCGCUUCAGGGUGAAGGAUGACGAGCUGCCCUGGAUGAGGAUUCCGGGCGGAUGGGAAGAGCAGAUGAAGGGGCCGUGCCCCAGGAGAAUCAAGCUCUGGACUUGGGAGGGCGUGUGGUCAGUCCGGAUGGAUAAGCGGGAUGGGCAUGAUGCAAAGUACCUGAUGGACGGGUGGGACGACUUCGUCGACGCUCAUGGCGUGGAAGCAGACGACCUGCUAACCUUCCAGAUCGUGGAGCCUGACGGCUGGUAUGUUCGAAUCUACGCUCCCUGUGGCAAGGAGAGGCCGAUUGGACGACUGCUGCUCUAG
rnacentral:rRNA from 1 species